GCAUAUCAAUAAGCGGAGGAAAAGAAACUAACAAAGGAUUCCCCUAGUAACUGCGAGUGAAGCGGGAAAAGCUCAAAUUUAAAAUCUGGCGGUCCUUGUGGCUGUCCGAGUUGUAAUCUAGAGAAGUGCUAUCCGCGCUGGACCGUGUACAAGUCUCCUGGAACGGAGCGUCAUAGAGGGUGAGAAUCCCGUCUUUGGCACGGACUACCAGGGCUUUGUGAUGUGCUCUCAAAGAGUCGAGUUGUUUGGGAAUGCAGCUCUAAAUGGGUGGUAAAUUCCAUCUAAAGCUAAAUAUUGGCGAGAGACCGAUAGCGAACAAGUACCGUGAGGGAAAGAUGAAAAGAACUUUGGAAAGAGAGUUAAACAGUACGUGAAAUUGUUGAAAGGGAAACGCUUGAAGUCAGUCGCGUUGUCCGGGGAUCAACCUUGCUCUUUUGCUUGGCGUACUUUCCGGUUAACGGGUCAGCAUCAAUUUUGACCGGUGGAUAAAGGUCAGGGGAAUGUGGCAUCUUCGGAUGUGUUAUAGCCCUUGGUUGCAUACAUCGGUUGGGAUUGAGGAACUCAGCACGCCGCAAGGCCGGGUCUUUGACCACGUACGUGCUUAGGAUGCUGGCAUAAUGGCUUUAAUCGACCCGUCUUGAAACACGGACCAAGGAGUCUAACAUGCCCGCGAGUGUUUGGGUGGAAAACCCGGACGCGUAAUGAAAGUGAAAGUUGAGAUCCCUGUCGUGGGGAGCAUCGACGCCCGGACCAGACCUUUUGUGACGGUUCCGCGGUAGAGCGUGUAUGUUGGGACCCGAAAGAUGGUGAACUAUGCCUGAAUAGGGUGAAGCCAGAGGAAACUCUGGUGGAGGCUCGUAGCGAUUCUGACGUGCAAAUCGAUCGUCGAAUUUGGGUAUAGGGCGAAAGACUAAUCGAACCAUCUAGUAGGCUGGGUUCCUGCCGAAG
rnacentral:rRNA from 1 species